AAGCAUAUCAAUAAGCGGAGGAAAAGAAACUAACUAGGAUUCCCUUAGUAACGGCGAGUGAACCGGGAUGAGCUCAAAUUUAAAAUCUGGCGUCUUUCAGGCGUCCGAGUUGUAAUCUAUAGAGGCGUUUUCCGCGCCGGACCGCGUCCAAGUCUCUUGGAAUAGAGUAUCAAAGAGGGUGACAAUCCCGUACUUGACGCGACAACCGGUGCUCUGUGAUACGUUCUCAAUGAGUCGAGUUGUUUGGGAAUGCAGCUCUAAAUGGGUGGUAAAUUCCAUCUAAGGCUAAAUAUUGGCGAGAGACCGAUAGCGAACAAGUACCGUGAGGGAAAGAUGAAAAGCACUUUGGAAAGAGAGUUAAACAGCACGUGAAAUUGUUAAAAGGGAAACGAUUGAAGUCAGUCGUGUGAAAGGUAUUCAGCCGUCUCUGGCGGUGUAUUUGCCUUUCACGGGUCAACAUCAGUUUGAUCCGGUAGAAAAAGGCGGGAGGAA
rnacentral:rRNA from 1 species